ACCCGCUGAAUUUAAGCAUAUCAAUAAGCGGAGGAAGAGAAACUAACGAGGAUUCCCUCAGUAACGGCGAGCGAAGUGGGAAGAGCUCGAGCCUGUAAUCCCCGGCCGUCGGAGAAUUGUGGCCGGGAGAGGCAGCCGUUGCGCCGUCGAAGUCGACCUGGAAAGGCACGUCGGAGAGGGUGAGAGCCCCGGAGAGUCGGGUUGUUUGGGAAUGCAGCCCAAAGUGGGUGGUAAACUCCAUCUAAAGCUAAAUUCCGGCACGACAC
rnacentral:rRNA from 1 species